GCUGUGGAUUGUGGGAGGCGAGCGGCCGAUUUGGAUUUCCGUUCACGGCCACCGUCGGUGGCUCGCGAGCUUCUGAAGCGGCGGCUCGCUGGCUGGGCCUCCUCUACGUCGACUCAGCCCGAAGAAGGCCUUGGCCGAGUGGAGGCGGCGCGCGCUGUGGAUUGUGGGUGGCGAGCGGCUGAUUUGAAUUCCCGCUCACGGCCACUGUCAGUGGCUCGCGAAAGCUUCUGAAGCGGCGGCUCGCUGGGCCUCCUCUACGUUGACUCAGCCUGAAGGCCUUGUUCAGAUCACCUUGAGUGUGGGCCAAGGCAACUGCGUGCACGGACAGUGACCCACACUCGGUGCGGAGACGUGCCACCACCCCACGCACCUCGCGGCUGUACAGCUCGCGUUCCGCUCUCUCGGACGUUCCGCGGCGCGUCGCGUGAGCUGGCGUCCCGCUUCCCCGCUCCCGCGCACCGCUGGCAGACGGCGCGCUGGGAGCCGUCUCCGCGUCGCCACGUGGCCGAUGGCUCACGGAGACCCGCGACGUGGUCCAGCUUCCAGCUCUCACCAACUGACCUCGAGCCCCUUCCGGCUCUCCAUUAUAUCCCCUUCCCGCGUCACCCAGACUCUGCCCUUCACCACACCCCUUGAGAACUUUCCAGAUAAUACCACCCCCUAGCGCCCGCGGGCUCCACCC